GCAGCAUCUCGUUAGGCGAGGCUCCUGCGCAAACACAGGCCACUGAUCUCACGACGUCCAGAGACGCCCAAGAUCAGGACAGUUAUCAUCGGAUUAAGGUGUUAACCCAAGUGGCUUCUGGUUUUACCAGAUACGUUACGCAGUGCUAAAGCUAGAACGUGGAGAUGAAAA
rnacentral:sRNA from 2 species